UGACAUCCCGUCCUUUUCAUAGGAAAUAUUGAAGACCUUUAAUAUUAGAAUACUAUUGAUACACGCCCGGUAUUUAAUAAAUUAUAUUAUUUUAAAGAUAUUUUAUAAAUUGAAGUUCGUUACUAUUAUUUUAUUGAUCAAAUGCCUUAAGCCCGUUAUUAAAGUAUAUGAAAAAUAUUUUCACAAGUAUUUAUUUAUUUAUUUAUUUCCAUUCUAUUUAGUUAUUUAUCUAUUUAUUUUUAUUGGGCCUCAAGCCUAGCAAUAAUUAUUUGUGAGUUAUUAAAAUUUUCUUGGGUCUCCGGCCCAAAAUUUGUGAGAUCAAUACUGGCCCAAAAUUUGGAGAUUUGUGGGAGAAAUUGAAACAAGCGUUUGUGCGUGUGCGUGUGAGUGUGAGAAACUGAAAUAUUUUCCUUCCUCUCCAAGUCUAACUAUGCUUGAUAUUUUCACAAAUUUGAUAUUCUAUUCCCAAAAGCAAAAGCUUUGGCUUUGUUACAACCACGUCAAUCGUUCCACCUUCAUAAAUUACCCCAACUUUUCUUACACUAUUUCACCGCCAGAAUCACUUCCUCAAGCUGCAGUAGGAAGCAAUCAACAUAGUAACUCUUUCUAUUUCUCAGUCAAGUAUCAUUAUGUUUCAUCAUGUUUAUUUCUUCACUUUCCGAAAAAUGGUGGACUGAAUCCAGCAAAAAUUGCUCUCGGCUCGAUUCCUUUCACACAAAACUCAAUAUGCUCUUUUCAUUGCAGAACUCCAGCUGGCUCAGUUGACCAAGAGGAUUAGCACUGCUUUUGCGAGACAAGUUAUGUUUGACUUCGGACUUUGUCCAAUCAAGGUUGAUCGGUUGGUGCAGACGGGGUUGAGCUGAGGCUAGGGUUCCGCUUCGUCUUUCACUUCCGCUAACGACUAGCUUGCUAUCUUGUCUUUCAAUCUCCUAAACUAAGAACUUUUAUUAUAUGGUAAAAUAUUAUCUCGUUGAGCUUAGACCCUUAAUUCGUAUUUCAGUUAAUGAAGUCAUCGUUGAUUAUGAUCAGAGUCACGAAACUAAACUUUUGCGCUCCUGGAAAGUUGAAUGUUGUUAAUCGAUUAUAUCGCUCAAUGCCCAUUCAUUUAUUCUAUUUUAUCUUUAUUUUAUUAAUCUCUUCAAAACACAGAUACCUAAUCUUUUGGGUAAAUCUUCAUAAUUGAUCUGCUCAUAUCACAUAUUUUUCUUAUUUCUUUUGUUUGGGAAGUUGGGUCGUUACAAGUGGUAUCAGAGCACAAGUUUUCUUUCGUGCCUCUGACUACCGCUAGUUGAAUUAUUUUGAGUCUAGAAUAGUACCUCUAGACUUCUAAGCAUUUAUGUAACCCUCAGCUCACCGUCUCACUGCCUGAUCAACAAAGGUACGUUUUAAAAUUUUCAAAUAAAUGAUUUAAUUUGAAGAAGUGCGCGCAAAAGAUUAUCUUGUGAAAUGCUUUAAUGAUGUCACAUAUGAAAAGAGAUAUUGCUUAUGCAAGAAAGAAGAGUAUGAUAUUUGGGCCAGCGAGUCCUUAAAAGAAGCAAAGUUUGUAAUCAUGAUGGGACUCUUCGAGCCUACAUGAUCUAUUUUCAGAAGAAGUAUAUUAUGAUGAGUCUCUUUGAACUCACAUAAGCAUGUUGAAAGAGAAAAGAUUUGUUGUUUAUGAUUGAUUCUAUGAAUCAUUUAUGAUUAAAGAUAUGUUAUGAUUUUUUUUACUUCGUGCAUGUUAAGAAAUAUUUCAGAUGGCAUAAAUGACACUAUUUGUCAACUUAGGUUAUUUAUGACCUUUUUGACUUGACAGUUAUGAGUAGGUUGACUCAGUCAACUAAAGAUAUGAACUUAUAAGAGUAUGAUUUACCUCAUAGUUAGAGGUGCAUUAGCUAAUGCUAUGACAGGAUUUCGAUCCAUAUAAACUAGACUUUUGUCUAGAGAACUUUAGAAUGAUGAGGUAUAGAACCUUGAAGAACAUAGAAUGCUCUCAGAAUACCUAUGAUGCCUAUAGAACAGAGAAACUUAGCUAGAUUUAGCCUUGCGCUAUUUCGGUUUGAAUGAUAUUGGUCCUUCUUUAUAGAUGGACAAAACAGGUGAGAAAUUCCGCAAGCAUUGGACCCCAAUGAACUUGCAAGAAUAGUAUGAAGAGAAGCUCCAUAGCUAAAUUAGGAAGCUAUAGAAUUUUCUGAGAGAUUUCGUAGUAGAAUCACGACACACAGGAUGAAUGCAUGCAAGGGAAGAAUAUUAGACAUCAAAUCAUCAAUAAGAUUCGUGCAACACCUUUCUCUAAUGAAUGGAAAACAGGGACAACCAACACAUGUGCAAGAUUAGUUCGACGAUUUUCCGCAGCUGACCAAGAGCACCAAGCCAAGGCCAUUGACAUAGGAAGAAGGUCCUAAGAACAAUAUUGAGGAAGCUAUCAUAAGAGAUUCAUGAGAGAGCAAUUGCCUGCAUACAUUAUUAGUUUAGUAGUGACGACAAUUGUUUAGAAUAACCUUACUUUUGAUAAGGACACCUCACUUUUUGACUGUAAGGUCGAACUCAUCCACAUCCUACCUAUACCUUGCUUAGACACCCCAAUUCAUUUAAUAAAUUCUCGUACUACCUAAACACUUGGAGUACUCUAUUAUAUUCAUUAUACUGAAAGUCCUCUUUUGAGGCAUAUGAUACAUAAGUGUUUUGAUCAUUGCUUUAACGCGUGUUAUUCAAACUUUUCUUCCCGUAACACGCCUAGUUAUUAUGGUUAGUUUACAUCUAAAGUUGUUCAAUCGUAUUAACCAAAAGAACCUCUUUGGGAGGCACUAUUAUUUUGAAUAUUAUGAAAGUCCUCUCUUGAGGCAUAUAUAUCAGUAAUUUAUUCAUACUUUAUGCGUGUUGUUCACAUUUUCUUUGGUGUAGCAUGCAUAGUCUCAAGAUUGAUUCACAUAUGAUUGUUAAGCCCUAUUAACCAAUUGAACCUUUAAACCACAUCAUGGAUACGACAAUAAGAAGACGUGGACGACGACGAGUAAUUAUCCCAGAUCGGCGAGCCAGAAUCAUUGAGGCACAAAGAAAAGAUUGGUUUUUUGAAAAAAAGGCGACUUGCAGCAAGAUCAAGCGAACCUAAAGGAUUCACAGAAGAUAAGAAUAAACCUCAAUACCCCGAAUUAGACUACCAAAGUAUGUAAAUUUCGGGGACGAAAUUUUUUUUAAGGGGGGAGGUAUGUGACAUCCCGUCCUUUUCAUAGGAAAUAUUGAAGACCUUUAAUAUUAGAAUACUAUUGAUACACGCCCGGUAUUUAAUAAAUUAUAUUAUUUUAAAGAUAUUUUAUAAAUUGAAGUUCGUUACUAUUAUUUUAUUGAUCAAAUGCCUUAAGCCCGUUAUUAAAGUAUAUGAAAAAUAUUUUCACAAGUAUUUAUUUAUUUAUUUAUUUCCAUUCUAUUUAGUUAUUUAUCUAUUUAUUUUUAUUGGGCCUCAAGCCUAGCAAUAAUUAUUUGUGAGUUAUUAAAAUUUUCUUGGGUCUCCGGCCCAAAAUUUGUGAGAUCAAUACUGGCCCAAAAUUUGGAGAUUUGUGGGAGAAAUUGAAACAAGCGUUUGUGCGUGUGCGUGUGAGUGUGAGAAACUGAAAUAUUUUCCUUCCUCUCCAAGUCUAACUAUGCUUGAUAUUUUCACAAAUUUGAUAUUCUAUUCCCAAAAGCAAAAGCUUUGGCUUUGUUACAACCACGUCAAUCGUUCCACCUUCAUAAAUUACCCCAACUUUUCUUACACUAUUUCACCGCCAGAAUCACUUCCUCAAGCUGCAGUAGGAAGCAAUCAACAUAGUAACUCUUUCUAUUUCUCAGUCAAGUAUCAUUAUGUUUCAUCAUGUUUAUUUCUUCACUUUCCGAAAAAUGGUGGACUGAAUCCAGCAAAAAUUGCUCUCGGCUCGAUUCCUUUCACACAAAACUCAAUAUGCUCUUUUCAUUGCAGAACUCCAGCUGGUAACCCCAAUUAUCUCUGUAAAUCUAUGCAUUUUCAUUUUAAUACAGCAUCUAUUUCCUUCUA